UGCUACAACUUUAAGGUUGCAAACCCAAGUGCAGGUUGUCGCAAGUAGUAAAUCUCGGAAGUCCGAGGUCGAACCACAGGGAAUUGGAAGGAAAUAAACUAUUCUAUGAGUAAUAAACGGUUGGCGGAAAUACGAUUAACACGAACACUAGAGCGUCGGGGAUUCACUUCGGAUAAAUGAGUAGAAAUUGCACUUGAUCUUUAAUUUAACUCAUAUAAAAAUCAACUAAGGAGUGAUCUCAUAUGGAAGAUAAAACAUUGAUCACAAAUAUAUUGAAAGAUAGAUCUUGAUAAUUGUUUGAGAGAAUAUGUCAAAAUAAGUUGUUGGUAUGUAGAGAUUAUCUAAGCAUUUAUUGUGCCAAAAUUGUCGACAAUAAAUCAAAGUCUUUAACAAACCAAAACCAUUUGUAGAACACAAACUUCAACCAAGUAAGAAGAUGAACAUUGAAGAACAAAAUGAAAGAUCAAAGACAAUACUAAACAUUCAUCAAAGUUUCACCCCUAGCUCUAGCUAAAUGUUUAGAAAUACAUAGUGAAAUGUUACAAAGAAAAUGAAGGAAACUAGAAUAUGAUGGAGAGAAUUGAUUCUUCAAAAUCGUGGCCAAGGUCCCCUUUUAUAGGCAAAGGAACAUCCAAAAUUCAAGUAGGCAAUGCAACUUGUUUCUGUCCAGCUUCAAGACAGCUGGAACAUGCAACUUGAUGCCAAUUUUCAGAUAUAUUGUGCAGCGAAUUUGGACUUAUGAUCAACAGAUAAAUUAUUUCCACUUGAGUUANNNNNNNNNNNNNNNNNNNNNNNNNNNNNNNNNNNNNNNNNNNNNNNNNNNNNNNNNNNNNNNNNNNNNNNNNNNNNNNNNNNNNNNNUUUUUUAAAUUGGACUCAUCCCGACCCUCAAUAGUCAACUAUUUCUCUCUUCACUCAUUGGAUGCACACCCCAAACUUGAUUUUGUAACUAUUUUCCCAAGGUGUAAUGUAUGGUUAAAUUUAUAUACUAUUACUCACCAUCUCUAGUUUUGUUAGAUUUUACUAAUUGUAGCUCAACACAUCAAUAAAUGAGGAUUCUCCUUAAUUUUGACUGACUCAAACUCCAAGAAUCAACUAAGCUACUAAUCCCUUAUCAAAGGUCUAAUUCUCUAAAAUAAGUGUUUGGGACUCAAUCAAGACAUGUAGUGCGUCUUCUGUUUCAUGCACCUGCUUUUUUCAAGUUUGCUGUGCGUAUUCUGUUUCAUGCACUAGCCUAUCUCUUUUUAUGUAUAUAAUUUUCCUCAUUGGGCUCUUUUAGGGUAGCUUCACAACAUGGCAGCUUUUUCCCUUCUAUGCAAUGAUUAGUGCAAUGCCCCUCAUUAAACACUUAUUCUCGAAAAUCGAUCUUUAACUUAAGAUUUUCACCUAAUUAUCAUCUCAUUGGUCUUAAGCAAUUUACACAAAAUUUAACACACAUGGAAUCCACAUCUAUCUCAAUGUCUCCCCACAACAGCUCAACCACCCCAAACUAUCCUAGAAUUGGUUUAGUUGGAAUUUUUUUUUUUUUUGUUGUCAUAGUUAAUUCUACAUAUUCUAUCCAUUGAUCCAAUCUAAAUAAUAUGUGAUUUCCAUGAUUAUUGUGCUCAAUGUAGAUCAAUCUAACAUGAACAAGCUUAAACUAAAUCAAAGUAGCAUCCCCUAGUCAUAAUAAUAUAAAAACAAUUUCAAAUAUUAUCAUCGGUCGGUAAGAAAUUUUAAAUUUUUUUAUUGGAUGGGAAAAAAUUUUUUUUUUUUUUUUUUUUUUGAAACAUUUUGAUUUCUUCCCCCAACCUAAAUGAAACAUUGUCCUCAAUGAAAAGAUUAAAUGUUCAAAAUAUAUGAAGGACAAUAAGGGGCAAAAUUUUGAACAAAGGGACGGGUUUUGAGCUUUACCUGGAAAGUCUGCAUAAACUUGGCCUAAAUGAUCCUUCAAUUUCAUUAGUGAAAAAAAAAACAACAAUAAAAGAAACACACCUAAAAAAAAACACACAACAUUAUAAAACUGAAAAUAAACAUACAAAAUAAAAUAAAAUAAAAAGGAUAUCAAUCUUUAGAAUCAUGUAUAGCAACGGGCUCUUCAAAUCUAGAGAAAUUCUCAAAAAAUGGUUUCAAAUCGAGCUUUGGUUCUUGAACACUUGAAAUCAUAUGCGAAUUUUUAAAAUUAUCAUUGAAUUCAAAUUCAAGCGCAUCAUAUGAAGAUGUAGCGAUAAAUUGAUCAUCAACAAGUUGUUCAAUAAGAUCUACUUCAUGCAAAUCAUCUUCAUCUCCAUGUUGCUUGCAAAUGUUAAAAAUAUUCAUUUCCACGGUCAUAUUUCCAAAAGAGAGUUUCAAGAUACCAUUUCUACAAUUUAUCAACGCAUUUGAAGUAGCAAGAAAGGGACGUCCUAAAAUGACAGGUAUUUGUGCAUUUGAAUUUAAAACAGGAUGUGUGUCCAAAACUAUAAAAUCAACAGGAAAAUAGAAUUUAUCAAUUUGAACUAGAACAUCCUCUACAACCCCUCUUGGAACUUUUACUGAACGAUCAGCAAGUUGAAGUGUUGUUGUUGUUGGCUUAAGCUCUCCCAAACCAAGUUGCUCAUACACAGAAAAAGGUAAUAGAUUAACACUAGCACCAAGAUCAAGCAAAGCACGCUCUAUCCUGUUAUUCCCAAUCACACAAGAAAUUGUUGGACAACCAGGAUCUUUGAAUUUAGGUUGAGUGUUUUGUUGAAUGAUUGAGCUCACAUUCUCUGUCAAAAAUGCUUUCUGUUGAGCAUUAAGUUUCCUCUUAACAGUGCACAAGUCUUUUAAAAAUUUUGCAUAUGAAGGUACUUGUUUGAUUGCAUCCAAUAAUGGUAUGUUAAUUUUGACUUGUUUAAAAAGUUCAAAAAUUUCAAAAUUGUGGUUGAGUUUUGAAAUUGGUAGCAAUCGUUGAGCGUUAUAUAUAUAUAUAUAUAUAUAUAUAUAUAUAAGGUGGAAUCCAUUGCGAUCUUGGGCAUCGCCAAAGAAGGGUGUUCUCCGCGCCUAUGAGUGACUAUAGGUCCAUUCGGAUGCUGCUCCAAGAGAGCUUUAUUCGGCCUUUGUAUGACCGUCUUCCUCAGGAGUUAGGCCCUCAUAAAAGAAACUUAUAGUACGCCAUUUUUCAAAACCAUGAUGUGGGCAUGUAUUUAACAAAUCUUUAAAUCUUUCUAAACAUUGAAAGUACGCUUCAUUGGUUUUUUGAGAAAAAUUUUGGAUUUGUCUUUUCAAAGCAUUAGUUUUAUGGGCUGGAAAGAAUUUCUUCAAAAACUCACUUUGCAUUUCUUGCCAUGUGCCAAUCGACCUAGGUUUUAAAGAGUUAAGCCAAGUUUUUGCUUUAUCUUUUAGAGAAAAAGGAAACAAUUUCAACUUAACAAUUUCGUUGGGACAAGUUUGAUCGUUAAAUGUUGCACAUACUUCCUCAAAUUCUUUAAGAUGCAAAUAUGGACUUUCGGAUUCUAAGCCAUGAAAAUUAGGAAGUAAUGGAAUCAUACCCGGCUUGAAUCGAAAAUUAUUAGCAUUAAGAGGAAAAAUGAAACAUGAAGGAGCAGAAUUUCGAGGAGGUUGCAAGUAAUCACGCAUGGUUCGUACUUGUUGGUUUUCAUUUUCAUCGUGUAUGCUUUCAUUAUCAGCCAUGGUGGAAGAUGUGAGUGAGUGUUGAGGUGAGUCAAAUAAAUUACUAAAGAAAGUUUCACAAUUAUCUUUACCUAAACGAUGAGAAUUUAAUUCACGAUACCAAUAUGACAUAAAAUAACAAAAAGUAGAUGUAAUGAACAAAAAUUAGGUGGCACAGCCAACCAUAUAAAAAGAACGAAAAUUAGGUGACACGGCCAACCAUAUAAUAAUGUAAAGGACAAAAAUUAGGUGGCAUAGCCAACCAUAUAGUAAAAACGAAAAUUAGGUGGCACGGCCAACCAUAUAACAAAGAAAGGGCAGAUCGGGAGGCUCGGCCUUCCCUUUAAGGAAAGAAAAUAAACAAAAAAUAAAAACGAAGGAGGCUCGGCCUUCCUUUAAAGUAAAAUAACUAAAGCAAUAAGAUUGAAAAAGGAACGGUAAUAAAUGGUUGGUGGAAAUACGAUUGAGAUGAACACUAGAGCGUCGGGGAUUCACUUCAGAUAAAUGAGUAAAAAUUGCAGUUGAUCUUUAAUUUAACUCAUAUGAAAAUCAACUAAGGAUUGAUCUCAUAUGGAAGAUAAAACAUUAACCACAAAUAUAUUAAAAGAUAGAUCUUGAUAAUUGUUUGAGAGAAUAUGUCAAAAUAAGUUGUUGGUAUGUAGAGAUUAUCUAAGCAUUUAUUGUGCCAAAAUUGUCAACAAUAAAUCAAAGUCUUUAACAAACCAAAACCAUUUGUAGAACAUAUACUUCAACCAAGUAAGAAGAUGAACAUUGAAGAACAAAAUGAAAGAUCAAAGACAAUACUAAACAUUCAUCAAAGUUUCACCCUUAGCUCUAGCUAAAUGUUUAGAAAUACAUAGUGAAAUGUUACAAAGAAAAUGAAGGAAACUAGAAUAUGAUGGAGAGAAUUGAUUCUUCAAAAUCGUGGCCAAGGUCCCCUUUUAUAGGCAAAGGAACAUCCAAAAUUCAAGUAGGCAAUGCAACUUGUUUCUGUCCAGCUUCAAGACAGCUGGAACAUGCAACUUGAUGCCAAUUUUCAGAUAUAUUGUGCAGCGAAUUUGGACUUAUGAUCAACAGAUAAAUUAUUACCACUUGAGUUAGCUUUCUAUUGGUUCAAAUAUCAGGUUCAUUGGAUCUAUAUAACUCCAGAGAUGACAAAAACAAUAAGUGCUGCUUCACAGGUAAAGCUGUAUCCGGCAGGUAACAAGCUGGACUUUACACGGUAAUUUUAGCUGCUUUGUGAUACGAAUUUGACUUCUUCCAAAACAUGAAAGUUGUAGAAACAUGCCUUUUCUUUCGAACCCAACUUGAAUCACCUCGAUCCAAUGUCUGAAGCUCAAGUUAUGAUUAUUUUACCAACAGCUGCUUCUUGCUUGAGACAGUCACUAUUUUUGACUUUUCAACAUUAUUUUCCUCCACUUCCUCCACUUGUUGUAAUUUGGAAAUACAAGUGAAAUACAUCAAAUAGAUACUCUUUCAAAUGUAUAAUACUCAUGCCACCAUGUAUGUAAAUACGUAUUUCAAUUAAUUGCAUUUUUAACCAUGUAUUUAUGGAAAUUGAAUUUACGGCAAGACAAUUGAAAUUAAAGACUAA
rnacentral:lncRNA from 1 species